CAUACCUAAACGCACACCUUCUUCCUUCUCUCUCCUCCUCUCUUCGCCGUCUGUCGAUCUCGCCGUGCAUCAUUCUCGGUGUUCAUCGACCUUCUUUUCUAGCAUCAUCUCAUCUUCUCUGAUUUCUCCUUAGUCGUUGUCUCACCUCGUCUCUUGUUCUCUGUCGUUCUUUCUUCUCAGUUCCAUCUUCUACUUAGUCAUACCUUCCUUUUGUUGCUAACAUAUAGAGUUGUCGUCAUAGGUGCAUUGUAUCCUCUUGACUGCAGAAACUGAAGCUUUGAAUCACUUGAUGUCACAGUCGCAGAAUUGGCUAUAAGCUCUCGUGGAUUAGAUGCUGGAGAUCUUAGAAUUGCUGAACAUAUAACUCUUAAGAAGCUUGAGAACAGAAUCAAGAUUCACCUCGUCAUGUAACGUGUUGGCUCGUUGUAGAGAUUAAUAAGUGGACAAAAGAGAAGGAGGUUACAGUGGGCUUUACAAAUGAACAAACGAAUUUCUUUUAUGUAUGCAUAGCUUUUGGAGAAGUGAAAUUAGAGUCUAAGAUAUAUUCCAUUAAACCCGUAAUUAUUGUUUGUAAUCGCUAACUACUUCUGAUUUGGUUGUGAUGGUUCUUCUUUCAUUGUGUUAAUACUUAUGUAUGUUACUGUGUUAAUAUGUAUUUCAACCUCAAGUUCAUGUGUUAAUACUAAUGUAUGUAACUA